ACCCUACUGAAGCAGCCUUCCAGUUCAUGAUGUUCAGUGCUACUGACAUUUACAAUCCACAGAUGGGAUGUCUGGGUUUGAAGUCCAUAAAACAGCUGGGGAGCUGUUGUAGACUGCAGAUCAGUGCUUAUACACUUGUGUCGACAUAGAAUGAAAGUCUCUGAAGCCAUUUCAAGCUCCUCUACAGCUUGUCAAACUGUAGGACAGUAAGCUGAUCUCUUGGCACCGUGCUGGAGGAGUCUUCCUUUUCUGGAAGGACCUGAUGCAUGCUGGUCGAGCCCUGCACAUACACACACGUACACACACAGCACAGAGGUGUCACAUUUAAUAUUUCACUCUGUGCACACUUGCAAGCGCACACACAUUCUCAGAGAGCAUAUGAGCAGAGUAUUGGCAGCAAUCUGAAUAUAUCUCUGUUUACUGUGAUCAUCUGUGUGGGUGUGCUUAACAGAUCAAAGCAGACAGAAGAAGGCGAGUCUUCUGGAACACAGAGGGAGAGAGUUCACACGAGAGAGCGUGUGCAUGUCUCUCAGCAUCUCUCCCAUCAACAAACACCAUCAGCGGAGCUUUAA
rnacentral:lncRNA from 1 species